rnacentral:rRNA from 1 species
AGUGAACGCUGGCGGUAGGCCUAACACAUGCAAGUCGAACGGCAGCACAGUAAGAGCUUGCUCUUACGGGUGGCGAGUGGCGGGCGGGUGAGGAAUACAUCGGAAUCUACUUUUUCGUGGGGGAUAACGUAGGGAAACUUACGCCAAUACCGCAUACGACCUACGGGUGAAAGCAGGGGACCUUCGGACCUUGCGCGAUUGAAUGAGCCGAUGUCGGAUUAGCUAGUUGGCGGGGUAAAGGCCCACCAAGGCGACGAUCCGUAGCUGGUCUGAGAGGAUGAUCAGCCACACUGGAACUGAGACACGGUCCAGACUCCUACGGGAGGCAGCAGUGGGGAAUAUUGGACAAUGGGCGCAAGCCUGAUCCAGCCAUACCGCGUGGGUGAAGAAGGCCUUCGGGUUGUAAAGCCCUUUUGUUGGGAAAGAAAAGCAGCAGGUUAAUACCCCGCUGUUCUGACGGUACCCAAAGAAUAAGCACCGGCUAACUUCGUG